rnacentral:miRNA from 1 species
GAUGAGGAUAGUGAGGAGGAG